CCUACGGGUGGCAGCAGUGAGGAAUAUUGGUCAAUGGGCGUAAGCCUGAACCAGCCAAGUCGCGUGAAGGAUGAUGGCCCUAUGGCUUGUAAACUGCUUUUAUAAGGGAAUAAAGUGCCUAACGUGUACCGCUUUGUAUGUACCUUAUGAAUAAGGACCGGCUAAUUCCGUGCCAGCAGCCGCGGUAAUACGGAGGGUCCGGGCGUUUUCCGGAUUUAUUGGGUUUAAAGGGUGGGUAGGCGGCAUGUUAAGCCGGCGGUGAAAGCCCCGGGCUCAAGCGGUGAAUUGCCGUGGAAACUGGGGUGCUUGAGUCUGGAGGAGGCAGGAGGAAUGCGUGGUGUAGCGGUGAAAUGCUUAGAUAUCACGCAGAACCCCGAUUGCGAAGGCAGCUUGCGAAGCCGUGACUGACGCUGAUGCACGAAAGCGUGGGUAUCAAACAGGAUUAGAUACCCCAGUAGUC
rnacentral:rRNA from 1 species